UAUAAGGCCAAAGGAGAGAUGUUCUCUGUCCUGGAAGCUGGUGGAAGAUCUCAGGUUCUGGGAGUUGGUAACAAAGGAAUAGAGUUUUCUAUUAUAUCAUGAGCCAGCAACAACACUGAAAAGACUAGAGUACACCUAGCUUAUUUUCCAAUCUUAUCUAACCCUACGCAGCCUGUUCUUAAAAGGGAAAGAGAGAAAACCUCUCCCAUCUUCCAGCCUGGGAUCUCCAGAUUUACCUGGUUCUUGAAACUCAACUGCUUGCUGGACAACGAGCUCUUGGAAGCAUAAUUCACUGGACACAUUCAACUGCUUUACAGGGCCCAGUUCCCUGGUAGAGAGAGAGAAGGAAGACCCCAAAAAGGAAGGAGGGGGAAGAAGGUAAAGGCAGAGAGAAAGA